rnacentral:miRNA from 1 species
AGUAACUAUAGCUGUUUUCUA